rnacentral:lncRNA from 1 species
GGUCACUUUGCAUCUCUUGUUCUCAUGAGUUUGUGAAGUACUCAUUAGCUGUAGGGUUUUGGGCUUAUUUAUACCCUGUAGGGGAUGUUAUAAGAGUGGAGAACGAACGUAUGUGUGCUACUACUCCCUUCAUGUUUACUCCUCCCUCCUCUCUCUUUAUCCCUUUCCUUUAGAGAGAGAGAGAGAGAGAGAGAGAGAGAGAGAGAGAGAGAGAGAGAGAGGGGGAGGGAGAGUUGCAUGGUGGGUUUUACAGGAAGAAAGAAGAAGAAGGAGAAGGAGAGUAGGGUUUGAUAAGUGUUGGUGUGUGUAUACAUAUAAAGCAUGCAAAGCAUGGAACUGGUUAAGUAAUUAGUUAGGUUUAUGAAGGAAUUAUGUAGAGAGGUGCACUUGUUCUUGUGAUCAUGAUGAGUACUUUGUGGAGUACUCUUAUAUGUUAGAGGACUCUUAGGGGUUUGGUUUUGUAUAUGGUUCUCUAUUUGUUAUACCUUAUAAGGUUUCUAUUCCUUUUAUCUCUAUUGCAUGAGGCCAGGGUUUUAGAUGAAGAAGAAGAAGAAGAAGAAGAAGAUAAUGAUGAUGAUGAGAGUUUUAUGUUAGUGUUGGUGUAACUACAUACAUGGUGCAUAUAUGCAUGUUGUGGAGUGGAGUUAAAUAAGUGUGUUAGUUGAAGAUGGAGGAAAUGAAUUAAUGGAGGAGGGAAACAAUAGAGGUGAUCAAAAUGGGGAUGUGCCUGGCUCCCUGUAUGCCACCCUUGUAGCUACCAAUCUAAGCAUGUAGAUUGGCUACUAUGGUUGGCGUGCGAGGAGCCAAGCAUGUCCUUCUCUCUCUCUCUCUCUCUCUCUCUCUCUCAUGCAUUUUUUGUUUAUGUACUUGCAAGUGUGUGUUAAAGGGCUUGAACAAGCACAAAAGCUUAAGCUGAUAGGUAGAGAUUGAUACUUUGCUACUUACCUUUUUUUUUCUAUAUACUAGUGAAUUUUGUGUGUGUGUGUGUGUGUGUUAAAGGGGUCGAACAAACACAAAAGCUUAAGCUGGUAAGUAGAGAUUAAUACUUACGUACUUAAUUUUUUUCCUUUGUACUAAUGAAUCUUUUGUGUGUGUGUGUGUGUGUGUGUUAAGGGCUCGAGCAAACACAGAAGCUUAAACUGAUAGACGGAGAUCGAUACUUAAUUUUCAGAUUUUUCUGGGUUCAUAUGGGGGUAUUAUUCUUCCUCGGAGUGUUAAUUAAUCUCCAAUAAAUGGGUAAGUUUGAGUAUUUGAAGAUAUCUGAAUAUUAAAUUAAUAUGCCUUACCUUUGAGGUUAAUUCGUAGGUCAUUAUAUAACUUCAUGUUUUAGUUUUUUUUUUUUUUUUAAUUUCAUAUAUAAGGUUUGGUAGGCAAAUAUAUAUAGUGUUUAUAAUGAAGUUUUGGAUAACGAAUUAUUUAGUGCGUUUAGUGUUAUUACUUGUGUUCAAUUAUCAUAGAUCGAUGAAGCAUAUGAAAUAUGUUAAUAGCUAUGUGUAGAACCUUAAUUAGGUAUUUUUCCUUUGCAUAUCCUUAUUAGUUUCUUGUUCAAAACAUCAGUGUUUACAACUAAGAAAUAUUAACUAAUCUCAUAUUCUAUGAUAUGUUAAAUCACCCUAAAAUCAAUCGUAUUAUCCUAAAUAUUGAAGUUCUUUUUGGAUAUGAUAUCAUGAAGAUGUUGCAUUACUCUAGGGCUCUUGUUACAAAUAUUUGAGCUCUACAAAUUAAUGAAGCCGCAAUAAGCCAUGCAUAUAUAUAUGUUUCUAUUAAGUGCAGGUACAUAGUCAUGUCACUUCCGAGUGUAUUUUGGAAAUGAAAAAUUAAUGCGAGUGCAGGAUUAAUCAAAUUCUCCAUCAUCUACACGAAAGGGAUUAUUCAUUAUUCUACAAAAAGAUACGAGUUAGACGCAUGGGCUCAGAUGGAUUGUGGUCGAACGAGCUCGAUUUCGAUCAUACAUGUGUUUGAUGGGGUUUUAGAUUGAAAAACUGGGUUUAGAUAAGUGGUUCGAUGUUGGUUUGAUUCUGGUUCGCUUUGUGGCGACUUGUGAAGAAAAUGGUGAAUAUAUGAUUCUUUGAUGUAAUCAUAACGUUUUGUGUUUUGAUCUCUCAAAUGAGGAAAUUAAUUAAUGUCGAGGCUAUAAAUCAUAUUGUACGUGAUACUUGUGGGGAUUGGUAACAAUUUUAACUUUUAUUUGUGGAAUGCACACAUUUUCAUGUGCUAUUUUUAUUUGUGGAAUGCACACAUUUUCAUGUGCUAUAUAUGUUGGAUUUUACGUAGAAUAUUGUUAUAUCUACUAGUCCAACUACAUACGUACCUUCGCCUUUGUACUCAUAAAUUAUCUUCAUAUUUAUUAGUUGUUUUAAAAUGAUAGAUUUUUUAAAUCCGCG